rnacentral:rRNA from 1 species
GAUGAACGCUGGCGGCGUGCCUAACACAUGCAAGUCGAGCGAACAGACGAGGAGCUUGCUCCUCUGACGUUAGCGGCGGACGGGUGAGUAACACGUGGAUAACCUACCUAUAAGACUGGGAUAACUUCGGGAAACCGGAGCUAAUACCGGAUAAUAUAUUGAACCGCAUGGUUCAAUAGAGAAAGACGGUUUUGCUGUCACUUAUAGAUGGAUCCGCGCCGCAUUAGCUAGUUGGUAAGGUAACGGCUUACCAAGGCGACGAUGCGUAGCCGACCUGAGAGGGUGAUCAGCCACACUGGAACUGAGACACGGUCCAGACUCCUACGGGAGGCAGCAGUAGGGAAUCUUCCGCAAUGGGCGAAAGCUUGACGGAGCAACGCCGCGUGAGUGAUGAAGGUCUUCGGAUCGUAAAACUCUGUUAUUAGGGAAGAACAGAUGUGUAAGUAACUAUGCACGUCUUGACGGUACCUAAUCAGAAAGCCACGGCUAACUACGUG